UGUGAAAAAUAACCUAAUGGUUUCCAAGC
rnacentral:sRNA from 1 species